AGAGUUUGAUCCUGGCUCAGAGCGAACGCUGGCGGCAGGCCUAACACAUGCAAGUCGAGCGCCCCGCAAGGGGAGCGGCAGACGGGAGAGUAACACGUGGGAACGUACCCUUCAGUUCGGAACAACCCAGGGAAACUUGGGCUAAUACCGGAUACGUCCGUAAGGAGAAAAGAUUUAUCGCUGAAGGAUCGGCCCGCGUCUGAUUAGCUUGUUGGUGAGGUAACGGCUCACCAAGGCUACGAUCAGUAGCUGGUCUGAGAGGAUGAUCAGCCUCACUGGGACUGAGACACGGCCCAGACUCCUACGGGAGGCAGCAGUGGGGAAUAUUGGACAAUGGGCGCAAGCCUGAUCCAGCCAUGCCGCGUGGAUGAUGAAGGCCCUAGGGUUGUAAAGCCCUUUCGGCGGGAAAGAUAAUGACGGUACCCGCAGAAGAAGCC
rnacentral:rRNA from 1 species